rnacentral:misc_RNA from 1 species
AGAACCUCCUUGCUUGAUCAGCUUUAGUCGACCACUAAUCCUCUCUGAGGCAUACUGAGUUGGAUGAAUUGCCACAUUAUCUUUCACAUACACUAUUUCAGCGCCUUCCUGUUCACCUGAUGAACCCUGCUUACUGCUAUUGCUCCUAUUCAUGCUCGCCGAACCUUGCUGAACAGACGCAGCAUAAUCGGCGUCGUCGGAGAGAUCGUGAACGUCAAUUUCAUGCAUCGCCGGAAAAUUAAGGUAGGCAAUUGCCGGGGCGGUGUGUGUUUGGGUUUGGGGUGGGGGGAGAGGGGGUGAAGUAGAAAGCUUCUCUUAGAGACG